GCCAGACUCCUACGGGAGGCAGCAGUGAGGAAUAUUGGUCAAUGGUCGGGAGACUGAACCAGCCAAGCCGCGUGAGUGAAGAAGUAUUUCGGUAUGUAAAGCUCUAUCAGCAGGGAAGAAGUUGACGGUACCUGAGUAAGAAGCCCCGGCUAACUACGUGCCAGCAGCCGCGGUAAUACGUAGGGGGCAAGCGUUAUCCGGAUUUACUGGGUGUAAAGGGAGCGUAGACGGUGAAGCAAGUCUGAAGUGAAAGGCGGGGGCUCAACCCCCGGACUGCUUUGGAAACUGUUUGACUGGAGUGCAGGAGAGGUAAGUGGAAUUCCUAGUGUAGCGGUGAAAUGCGUAGAUAUUAGGAGGAACACCAGUGGCGAAGGCGGCUUACUGGACUGUAACUGACGUUGAGGCUCGAAAGCGUGGGGAGCAAACAGGAUUAGAUACCCUUGUA
rnacentral:rRNA from 1 species